CUAGGAUCGAGUCCCACAUCAGGCUCCUCACAGGGAGCCUGCUUCUCCCUCUGCCUAUGUCUCUGCCUCUCUCUGUGUCUCUCGUGAAUAAAUAAAUAAAAUCUUUUAAAAAAUUAAAAAAGUAAAGAAAUAAGCUUUCAUCAUCAUUUGUAUCAACCACUGCAGUGAUGUUUUAGCUUACCAUCCAAGUUAAGGUAGCCCUUCGUACCUGAUGCUUAACGGAUCCACCUGUUCCUGCAGCCUCAAACUGUUCCUCGUCUCUCGCUGAAGGUCUCCUUGUUCCUGCUCAUCUUGGGAUUACUCUUUAUUGGUGCUUAGGGAUAGCGGUCGUAUGGCGUAAUGGUUGAGCAUACAAACUGGAGCCAGAUGGCUUGAUUAUCUGCGUCUCACAUACUGUGUGAUCUCGGGCGAGUUACUUUAACUCACUGUAGCUCAGUUUCCUUGAUAUCAUCAGGUUACUGUAAGGAGUGGAAAAAAGUAUAUAUAAAUGAUUAGAAGAGGGGCUGAAAUACUGUGAACCUUCUAUGGGCGUUUGGCACAAUUACAGUAAUGUUUUGGUGUCCUUGACUUCGUUCAGUGAAGUAGGCUCUGGAGGCUUCCUUCUGAGGAAAGACAGUUGGGGGAAGACUGUAAGUGCUGCCUACUUAACACCUUUUUUUGUCUUUUCAGAAACCAAAGGAAACAAAAUGGGCAAAAAUCCUCCCAAAAAAGGUUUCCACAUUUAGAAGAAAUAUGUUCUAUUCUACUCUGUUUGUGGUUCCCCUUCUCCAUGAAGAGAUGAUUGUUUCAGAGUCUGGCAUUAGCCCUGGUUGUUGACAGUGUGCCAGCAUCCCCCUCCUAGCCUCACAUACCCAUUUGGUCCGCACCCCACCUUAGCAAAGCCUUGCUGCUUGUGAAAGCCUCAGUCUCUCAUUUGUGCUACAGGCUGAGGCCCAGCUCACCUCAGGAGCCUCGAGUUCUCAGUCACCACCUCACUCCCUCCUACACCUGCCACUCCUCCGACACCUGUCUCUCUCUCCCAAUUAACAUUUAACUCCUGGUCUGUCUUUAGAUGAAUGAACCCUCCCUAGAUUCCAUAUCCCCUUUGAGCACUGUCCUAUCUUUUCUUUCAUAUAUUUCUUGAAAGACCUCCUAAAUUCAGUUACUUCUCAACCCACUCCAGUCUGGCUUCCCUGCUAUCAGUUUACCAAAAUGGCUGUUAUCCAGGUGAUGCUUAGCCUCCAUGUCACUGAACCCAUGGGCACUUUUCAGGACUAAUCUCACUUUGACCUUUCAAAAACAUUCAGUGUUGACUAAUUUCCUUAUUGAGACCAAUUUUAUUCACCAUCAGCUCUCUGCUGUCCUGUGGAUGGUAAAGUCUUGUGUCUCUGACUCAGGAGUCUCUUGUGUCAUGCCAGCAUCCAUGAAACAGUAACAGUCUAACUUAUUAACUUGUAAAUAGGGUAAAAUGAAAUUCCAGACAUGACAUUAAUCAUUAUAUUCCUACCAGCCCCCAAAACACUUGAGAUAAAGUAGGUCUUCAAUAUUUAUCUCUGAGGGGGAGGAGUUGGGGGAGGAAGGGAUGGAAGGAUGGGCGGGCCUUCUCAGCUCUGCUUAAGAGUUGCAAGGAUCAACCCUUUCAAAAGAGCCCAAUGUGUUCUGGAGUUUUUCUGGGUUGAGGAUACCGAUAUAGGAGUUAGGCACUCUGGGCUUGCAGAGAGGCUUGGGUUCUAUGGGUCUCUUGGAUGUGUUGUCAGGGUAGGGGAAUUAGGAGGUGAGAAAGGGAAGUGGGACAACAGCAAAGGCAAAUUUGGUCAGCCUUCAGUUCUGCCCACAGGCCUGGGGCAGUCAGUGAAGUUCAGCUCUGAAGCUGCUGGUGCUGGAAACUUCAGGUAGGAACCGUCCCCGUUAGGACAGCCUGUUCCCCUUUUACGAUUAGCAUUUUUUAAAAAACAAGACCAGCAGUGUUUUUGCACAAUGAUUAAAAUUGUUUUAGAAACAAAAUUGCUUUAGGACAGAUAAAAGUGAAGGAAGGAAUAACAAUGUUGUAACUACAAAAAUUUAUUAGACUAGAAGCUGAAUAAUGUGUAUAAAGGCAGUCUUUAGGUGGCAGAGGGUUUUUUGAGAUGGCAAAGGUAACAAGAAUUAUCUUGGGUUUGACUGGAUCAAGCAUUCUCAACCAGGAGGGUAUCACCCCUAAGAGGGUGAGAACUGGUUCAUGGGGGACCAGAAAGAACUUGGGUAUUCAAUGAUUUGUGCCCAGGGGCCAUAAAGAGAAAUACAGUAUAACUGUGGUGUUAGAAUUUCAUGGUGGGGAGGCAGAUUAGGAAAAGAUGUCUAAAAAGUCUCCUUAAAGGGACAAUAAUGGAAAAAAAGGGGUUGAAAACUAGAUGAAUUUCACUGAACUAGAUGAUUCAAAUGGAAGAAUGCUGUUGAUCACCAAUGAAUCCUCCUGGGAAAAUGAAUUAGAAAUAAGUGCAUUAUCCUGACGGAAGGAAAAAGACCUUACACAUUGCCUAGGAAUGUGGGAAAUAGAAAAUAAAACCCACUGGGAAAUAUAAAAGUAGCAGUGGGCAGCUGGGAUAUCCCCCACAGCUGCUCAACAGAUGAUGAGCCGCUGUCUCUGUAGAUAUCAGGGCCCAGGACACUGGGCUGAUGGCCUGAGCCACACUGCGCCAGCCCCCGGACAAGGUGCUAGGAGCUGACACAGCUGGGUGCGAGCCAGGAUUCAGUUCACCCACCCACCUCCCACCCUCCCGAUCUGUUUUGUUUUCCCUUGUCUAUCUCCCUUCCUACUGUCCUCUCACGACUCCCGUCAUUCAUUCCUUCAACAGGCUGGGGAAUCAGGAGCAAUGUUAAUGAAUGAAAGAAAAGAAUGCCAGAAACAGAGAACCACAGGCUGACAUCAAAGAAAUGACCUCCAGCCAUAUGAUUGUACGUAGAAGGCCAGAUAGUACAUGCUGACAUCUGUGAAAUCAAAUCACAAUGCAAACAGGCUUUUGGCCUCCCUCAUCCACAUUUCUGGGUAUGACACGGAUAUGCAGUUCCUUAGCAAAAUAAAAAUGAAAGACGAUGUCAAGUACGGGGAAUACAUCUUAUCCCAGAGGUAUUCAGCCUUGGAAAUGGCUUCUGGCUCGAGGCUGCUUAACAGUCCCGAGCUUGUUAUCAGUCUGAAAAUGGUGGUGGUGUUUCGGAGGGGCUCUGAAGGACAGGGAUGAUGGCCCAGCACGGGCCCCUCUUUUCUUUUGCCUUAAUCCUGGUGCUCAUGAAGGCAGUGCUGGAAGGAAAAUGUUGUGAUCAGAUAAUAAGAGUUACUAUUCUGGAACCCUUACUACAGGUUAGGUACUGUCUUACGUGCUUUACGUAUAUUAAUACACUCCGUUAACCAAACAACCCUCUGAGGGGAAUACUGUUAUUAGCGUGGGAAACCCAAGCAACAGAAAAACUCAGCUACUUGUUCAAGGUCACAUGACUACCCAGUCGUACUGAGAUUUGAACCUCAAUCCUCAGGGCCCAAGGACUUGCAGUCAGUACUACUCUUUACUGAGCCUUCACCGACUCUGCUUACCCAUGUCUUUGAACACAAGGAUGAAUGGACUUGAAACGAAAUUGCUUCUUUCACUGUGUAUUUGGUAUGGAGUCUUCAUUAAAGGACAAUGUGUCGGUCACGAGGCCCCCAGCACAGCUGGACCCUUGGGGGCCACUGACUGAAUGGAUUAGUUGCUUGCUGGACACAUGCUGCCCUCUUGUGAUGAGAACCAUCCAAAUAGGAUCUUCUCCAGCUGUCUGGAAUGCACCUACUUCCUUCCUUUGGUCCAGAUCCAUGGUUGGGGGGUUGGAGGAUAUGUGGCCAAUGAGGAAGCUGUGGGCUCUGGAGAGUCAGACUCGCAUCACCCAGCCUUCUCCAGAGCGUUCCGAGCCUUGUGACUCUUGGUGACGCUUGUAAACAUGACUCCAGAGUCUUGUAACUUUUAGCACCAGGGAUAUAAGAGACUUUUCUUAUUGUAGGCUUCCUGAAGAAUCCCAGGGACACUGCAGAGACCUCAUCUGUGGUCUUAGGACGAGUUUAUUUUGUUUAGGUUGCCCUAGUGGAUUGGACCAGAUUUACCUGAUUUAGCAGGAAGAUGGUGAGUUGCAGAAUGAACUGAAGGUCAUAAACUAUUAGAACAGAGGGAGGGACGCCUGGGUGGCACAGUGGUUGAGCAUCUGCCUUUGGCUCAGGGCGUGAUCCUGGGGUUCAGGGAUCGAGUCCCACAUCGGGCUCCUUGCAUGGAGUCUGCUUCUCCCUCUGCCUGUGUUUCUGCCUCUAUGAAAUCUGUCAUGAAUAAAUAAAUAAAUAAAUAAAAUCUAAAAAAAAAAAAAACCAAAAAAAAAAAAAACGGGAAAACCAAACCACAGAGACCUGUGUUCUAGUUCGUGCUCUACCAGUAAUAUGCUAUGUGACCUUGGGCAAGUUGCUUUUGCUUCAACACGUUUCCUCAGUGGUAGAGUGUGGGAAUUGAAUAAAUGAGCUCAAAAGCUCAGGUGUUGCCAGCUGUGGCUUUCUACAUUUGCCAAAAUCCCUUUCCUGAAGGGUUUUUCUCCCCUACCUCAGCCCACCACACACACGAACACAUUUUUAUGCACAUCCUGAUUAGUAAGAAGAGCUGCACCCAUAGUCACAGGUUUUUAGUUUCCCUUGUUCAUGAAGUCAUUCCUACUUUGUAGGGUUGUUGGGGAGAGAGAGCUUCCGUUUGACCCAGUAUUAAUGGGUCCAGUCAGACUAGGUCUGUUCAGGCAAAGCAAGGACAUAGAUACGUCUAUAUAAAUUUUUUAAAACUGAUUUUAAAGAUACUGAUACCUACACUAAUGAAUUACUAUCUUGCAUGGUACCAGUUUCAAACAGAUACUGAUAUAUGGAUCAUUCAUUCUUUCCUAAAGUUGUAGUGGUCACCAGUGCCAGUCUGUAGCUAUAAUCUGUAGGGUGGGGAGGCAGGGGCAGUGCCUAAACACUGUCUAGGGUCAGGGCCCAGGACACAUUGCUGGCUUCACGUGACCUUGUUCUGUAAUCUCCACCUGCUUCCAGACAAUUUAGUACACCCCUAGACUCUAUGGGCUGACACAGGUUGGAAAAUGAAAAUUUCAUAGCAAGAAACUUUGACUUGAUAAUCCCACUCCGAAGAAAUAAUCCUAAAGAAUUUUCUACUUCCACAGAAAUGUUGUAUAAAAUAAUCACCACCAAACCAAUCUGGAAGACAGGAUUUCUAACAUUUGGAGCAUAAUUAAGCAGACCAACAAUACGAAUGAUCAUUAUAAAGCCUAUGUAACAAUAUGGGAAAAUGCACCUGAGGACAUUAUGCUAGGUGAAAUAAGCCAGAAAUAAGCCAAAAUAAGUUUGUUUUACAGAAACAAAAACAAACACUGUGUGAUCCUACUUAUGAGAUACUUAAAAUCCUUGAGACAGGGUGGUUGCCAAGGGCUGGGCAGAGGGGAGAAUGGAGAGUCAUUUAAUGGGAGCACAGAGUUUCAGAUUCUAAGAAAAUUCUGGAACUGGAUGGUGGUGUUGGUUGCACAUUAUGAAUAUAUUUAAUACCAUUGAACUGUACAUUUCAACAUAGUUAAGAUGGUAAAUUUUAUGUGUAUUUUACCACAAUAAAAAAAUUGGGGGAAAUGUCAUAGAGUAAGCAAAACCUGGGAAGAUGACGCGCAAAAAGUUAAAGUAACUUACUACUGUGUUAUUUAUAAGCAUUAUUUAAAAAAUUUCCUUUAAUAUUGUGAUACUGCUUUUUGUAAUAAAAAAGCACUGGCAGGGAAAAAACCAAGGAAAAAACUUUGAGACCUUUUGAUACUUGUUAUUUCCUCCCCCCCCAAAAAAAAAAACCACCCAAGUAGUCAUGGGAAAAACUUGUUUAACAUCCUUGCACUUAUUUUAUGAUUUACUGUUGUUUAAAAAAAUUUUUUAUUACAGAUCACUGGGGACCCAUAACCUUUUCAGUGCUUAGCGCCUCUAAAAGUUUUAAGCUGGUCUUGGGUGUAGUCAAUUCCAGUUCGAGGCUGGGAGACUCAUGCUGGGAUGGCCCGGGGGACCCUGCUGCUCUGCUACAGCACGUCUGUGGUACCUCGGCCUCCUCGCCAGCAAAUUCCAUUUUCAUUGAAAUUCCUCUCUCUGGACCCGGAAUGAUGAUCCUGGUUUUGCCUUUCAGCUCCAGGGCAAGGGCUUUUGUCUGUAAGCGAGCACUCAGUUACCGGAAAUAGACAUGCAGCACACCUGGAAAUGGACCAAAAUAUCCAGGAGGCAAAUGCUUCCAGAAGGGGACACCGGUAGAAAGCUCCUGGGCUCCUGCUCCAUUCUUUACUGCUUGAGGACGACAUGGCUGUGCCUCCCCCUCAGUUUGACCCUGAGACUCCAGGAGUAAAACAAAAGCCUACGAAGAGCCCUUGUUUUGGCAAAACGGUGGACAUAUCAAAUCCUGACUCUGCGCACUCCUCAGUAUCCACAGCUGUGAUGUGGGCAGACGGUCAACGUGUGGGGAAGACCUGAGGAGGAAGAGAAUUUCCAGGUAAAACACUUGUUCGUUGAGCACCUUUUCUCCAAGAAGCUUGGCACCAACUCUAAACCAUGUCCUCAACUCUUCCAUGAAGGCAGCAUGACCAACUCACUGCCCUGGACCUGAGGGCCGUGUUUGAGCUCAGUCUUCCUCUAACGUCCGAUAAAAAUAACCCUGGAUGUGCUUACGCCUCUUCAUAGUGUAUUUACAGUAACUAAAAUGGCUCUCCAGGCACACUCCUGCCCUGUAAAAUUGUAACAGCUAUACAGGGAGGCUCAUCUGGGUCAUCGAGGCAGCAGGCUCUCCCGGACCCCCCACAUAGAAGUGGCCUCUCAGAAGCAGAUAAUCCUCUUCUCAUCUUCAAAGACUUUGGCCUCCUCUGGCUUUAUCAAGUUUCCAUUUAGGCUGUCGGAGAAAAAGAACACAGGUAAAAUGUUAAGAACUCGUAGGGAGCCUUGCCAGUGCGUGUUCCUAACAGACUCUGAUUCUUCACGUGGCCCCGAAGUGAAGGAACGUGCUCUACUCAGACACUUGUUUGAUAACAUUACUCCUUCCCAGCUAUCGUCACUCUCUGAACUGGCUCUCACUAAGGUCACCAAUUAGCCUCUGUGACCCUGAACUUAAUGACAUCUCUCAGAACCCGUGUGUCCUUCACAGGCAUUUGGCUGUCCUGCCCUCUGCCUCCUUGAAACCCCACACUCGCUUGGUUUGGUAUUACGCUCUCUGGUUUUCUCCUCUGUCUGACACUCCAUCUCCGUCUCCUCUCCCAUGUUCUCCUGCAUGUAGCUUCUACAUACUGGAUUUCCUCCAGGCUCCCCAGCGAUUGGUCCCCCAGGCGACCUCAUCCCUACAUCAUUGGACUUGCAGCCCAGACCUCUCCUGUGUGGCUCCACCUACCUCAGCAUCUUCAUCUGGAUGCCUUGCAGGCACCUCAAGGUGGCCAUACCUGCCUAGGGCCCCUCACUCGAAAAUGGCCCCUCAUUGCCAGACUUUUGCCAUCCUGGCAUCCUUAAAAUAUGGCAAAGAUCUGCUCCAGAACCAGAGAAAUUAACGUUGGAUGGACACUUGGUUCUUCCUUGCUCCUUGACAAACUCUGUUUUUGGUUUUGGCCUUCCUGUACUCAUCACAGUGCAUUCAAGAUGACUCAAAUUAUAUAGACACUGCUGAAAUACUCUUUUUGCAACUUUAUAGAAGUUUCCCCACUAAUGUCUGACUGAUCAAGUCCCUAAUCCUGAAAAAGCUGUUUUGUUUGUCCCAGAGGCCUCUGACCUCCCUGCUCUGGACCCUUUGAACACCUGCUCUUGGUACCAGUCACCAAUAGUCUGGUUAUUGCAUGGGCCUCACCCUCCCACAACACUUUGCCCUCCCUGUGGGAAAUUUAAAAAAAAAAAAUUUGUGUCUCUGCCUCUCUCAUGAAUAAAUAAAUUUAAAAACAAGAACAGGGGAUCCCUGGGUGGCGCAGCGGUUUGGUGCCUGCCUUUGGCCCAGGGCGCGAUCCUGGAGACUCGGGAUCGAAUCCCAUAUCGGGCUCCCGGUGCAUGGAGCCUGCUUCUCCCUCUGCCUGUGUCUCUG